AGGAGAUUGAAAGAGAUUUUAGAUGGCUUGUUUAAAAAUGUUUUAGCAUUUAAAGGUAGAUUCAUCUAUUCCUCAACAAUAAUAAAUAUAGGAUCUUAAUAUGUUGUUUUUACUGAGUUAAUUAGUUUGGUGGAAUCAGAAAAUCAAAAAGAGAUUCAGGUUAAACAUUUUUGGCAAGAAUACUGCAAUUAUUCAGGUGAUAUGCCUCGGCGUGUCAUAUCAGGAGUUCCCUGACCAGGGAUGGAACCCGUGCCCCCUGCAUUGGAAGGUGGAGUCUUGACAACUGGACCGUCUGUGUCAUCGUAGUAUGUCAUCAUAUUAUGAAGCAAUUUGCAUGUUGGUUUUUUUGUUUGUUUUGUUUAGC